rnacentral:rRNA from 1 species
AUGAUCAUCCCUGAACCUGUAAUAUGGGAUAAACUUAUCAAGGAUCAUCCAAGGAUAAAGAAGUUUCGUUCAAAACCAUUCAUGCUCUUCAAGUCAUUGGCUUCACUACAUGAAGGAAGUGUUGCUCCAGGAGACUUGAACAUUGUAUCAAUUCCGCAAGUGGAUCUCACAAGCGAUGCCAUUUCUCCUAUGGAUUCCUCUGCCAAUGAUUUGAACCAUAUCUCCUCUACCAAUGUUGAUGAUAGUAUGUCCUCAUCUGAUCUACAAGGGAAAGGGGCAUCAAGAAGAGAUGAACCUGAAGCUACAACAUCUACCAACUCUGAACAAAAGGGAGCACUGCCUGUGAAAAAGAGGAAGCAAAGCCAGAUCGUUGUUGUACUUGAGAACUACAUGGACUUUCAUAAGAAACAAUCUGCAAAACUGAUUGACGAGUUGAGAGAAUCAAAGCAAGAUGACAUGUUCUCGAUUGGAAACUGUGUGGCUGCGCUAGAACCAAUGGAAGAUCUAUCAGUUUCAGAAAAAGCAAAGGCACUACGGAUUUUCAAAUGCCCAAUGAAUCGAGAAAUGUUCAUCAAUACCAAGGACUCAAAUCUUCGGCUUUAUUGGUUGAAGGAGGAUAUUUCUGAGAUGUAG